rnacentral:lncRNA from 1 species
GCUGCUCGUCAUUGUCUCGAUUCGCUGCCCGAAAAAAGGUAACGUCUUCUUUUUUAUAACAUUCUACUCGUCUCUUUUUGUAUUUUGAUGUGAUUUUUCCGAUGUCGGAAAGUCUUGCUAUGUGGUUGUCCUAUGUCUUCUGUUUAAAUAUCUUUAGUGAUGUUUUAGUUUGAAUGUCUAAGUCAGCUCGAUGAUUGUCUCUGCUACGUUAUAUUGUGUUUUCUUUUAGAUUUCUCAAGUAUUUACUGAUUACAUGUUGUUGCCACCUGCUUUCUUGUUCAAGUUUGGUUACUGUUUAGAAGGGAUUAAAUUCUCAUGUUUUGCUUAAACCUUUUUAGUCUCUUAGUCGCUAUUUUAUCUCACUCUUCCGCUUCAUCUAAAAUAAGCUAUCAUUGUUGUUAUGUUGUGGCUGUCUUCUUUUAUCAACUGGAUCUUA